AGAGUUUGAUCAUGGCUCAGGAUGAACGCUAGCGGCAGGCUUAACACAUGCAAGUCGAGGGGCAGCGGGAUGUAGCAAUACAUUGCCGGCGACCGGCGGAUGGGUGCGUAACGCGUAUGCAACCUACCUUAUACAGGGGAAUAACCUUUCGAAAGGGAGACUAACACCCCAUGGUAUUGAUUUAAGGCAUCUUAGAUUAAUUAAAUAUUUAUAGGUAUAAGAUGGGCAUGCGUAUGAUUAGCUAGUUGGUAAGGUAACGGCUUACCAAGGCGACGAUCAUUAGGGGUUCUGAGAGGAAGGUCCCCCACACUGGUACUGAGACACGGACCAGACUCCUACGGGAGGCAGCAGUGAGGAAUAUUGGUCAAUGGGCGCAAGCCUGAACCAGCCAUGCCGCGUGCCAGGAAGACGGCCUUAUGGGUUGUAAACUGCUUUUACAUAAGACUAACCGUAUAUUUGCGAAUAUACCUGAAUGUAUUAUGAGAAUAAGGAUCGGCUAACUCCGUGCCAGCCGCCGC
rnacentral:rRNA from 1 species